ensembl:lncRNA
GGAAAUGGCAACCUACUCCAGUAUUCUUGCCUGGAAAAUUCCACGGACAGAGGAGCCUGGCGGGUGUCUAUAAGCCAUGGGGUCGCAAAAAGUCAGACAUGACUGAGCACACACACACACCAUUGCUAACCUAACUGAAUUUUCAAUCCCAGUAUACAUUCACUGGGAUCACACCAUACGGGAGGACUAGGUUCUAAAGUCGGCAUAGAAGGCUUCUGGAGAAAAAUAUGAAAGGAGGAGGGACAAAAGUGUUCAGAUAGCAUCAUUUCUUCUAGAAAAAUCUGAGGUGUGAUUUAUAAUCCUUGAAAAAUUCUCCUGGAGUUCUUCUGGGCAGAAGCGACUAAGUGCUGCUCUCACUAAGAGGCAAGUAUGUUUUAUGUGCACAAAUAUUCAUUAUUUCUAUAUAUUAGGGUUGAAGAACUCAAACAUUUACAGGAAAUUAAAUCCUAUUUUCAUUAAAACUCCCCUGUUUGGAAUCUUGAAAGUGGAUAGCCCUUACAUUUAAAUCAGAACCCACUCUAUUCUGUUGACCAAAGUAGUACUAGGAAAAUGUGGGAAUUAUCUGUUUACCAAAGUGAUACCAUCCUUCUCCAAGCAUGCUAAACCAAAUUCCAGAGCCUAGUGGAUGAAAUAUCUGCCGUCUGUGUUAAGGCCACCAGGUUCAAUUCCUGCUGGGAUGGUAGUUUUUUCAAUUAAAUUUCCAUUAACUUUUCGCCUCUGUGUCAUUAGACACUAAUUCUUACGUGUGGCAAAGAUGAAAGCGUAAAAGGAAAUAUCUGAUUCACGCAUCAUGUUGCUGACAAGUGAAAUGUGACGAUGACAACUUUUUAAUGUGGAAGAUAGGGAAGCUGACGAGAGGACAGGUCUCUUAGACUCGACACUGACCAGGGCAGAGGAGUGGUGGCAGCUGCGGCUCAGGGAGGCAAUUUGAAAGAUAGUGAUCUCGCAGUGGGAGCAUUCAGGAUGAUAAACGCUGGGAUGUGGGGAAGAAGCCGGGUGGAGGAAACAGCCUGCAGAAAGCCUGACCCAGGGAGGAGGAAGCACCCAGAGGCACUUUGUUCAGGAGAGGAGACGGAGAAUAAAUAUUAAGAAGAGCAUGAUGCUAAGAGGCACAAAGGUCAUGUAUUUAAACUUAAAGAUGGAAAGGGAUUCCAGGGCACAGAUGAAGACAGUGAGAAACAGAUAGACGUUAACAGCAGUUUUGCAAGAAGGGGA